rnacentral:rRNA from 1 species
UACGAAGGGGGCUAGCGUUGUUCGGAAUUACUGGGCGUAAAGCGCACGUAGGCGGGUUGUUAAGUCAGGGGUGAAAUCCUGGAGCUCAACUCCAGAACUGCCUUUGAUACUGGCAACCUAGAGGCUGGAAGAGGUUAGUGGAAUUCCCAGUGUAGAGGUGAAAUUCGUAGAUAUUGGGAAGAACACCAGUGGCGAAGGCGGCUAACUGGUCCAGAUCUGACGCUGAGGUGCGAAAGCGUGGGGAGCAAACAGG